rnacentral:rRNA from 1 species
UACCAGCACCCCGAGUGGUCGGGACGAUUAUUGGGCCUAAAGCAUCCGUAGCCGGUUCUACAAGUCUUCCGUUAAAUCCACCUGCUUAACAGAUGGGCUGCGGAGGAUACUAUAGAGCUAGGAGGCGGGAGAGGCAAGCGGUACUUAGUGGGUAGGGGUAAAAUCCGUUGAUCCAUUGAAGACCACCAGUGGCGAAGGCGGCUUGCCAGAACGCGCUCGACGGUGAGGGAUGAAAGCUGGGGGAGCAAACCGGG